GCCGGGCAUGGUGGUGCCUGCCUGUAAACCCAGUGGCUUUGGAGGCUGAGGCAGGAGAAUUGAGUGUUCAAAGCUAGCCUCUG
rnacentral:sRNA from 1 species